GAGCCAUCUGUGUGGGCAUGGAGUGGUAAGGAAGUAUUGUGAUGUGUUGACAGGGCUGCAGGGCGGGGCGGGCUGGGUUAGAGCUUCUACAGUUUCAAGAGUUUCUAUCCACUCCAUUAUGCUCACUGGUACAACUUAAAACGUGGCCAACUCAUGUGAAAGUAAUUUUGAUUUUAUUCCUAGCUUUUAGACUUGGGUUGAGCCUUACAUAAUCAACCUAGUGGCAUCUCAUUCCACUCUCUGCCUAUCACCUGCUGCGGAAUAAUAGUUUGAGCUCAAAGGCACGGAGAGAUGAAUACAGACCAUUUGAUGGAAUAUUUAAAUGAAAGCACAUUUGAAGGUGUUUUUCUGGAAGUACAGAUGGGGAACAGCUGGCAGUGAACCCUUGCUUGGAUUGAGUACGAGCCGAAGUGUUACGAACUCCCAAGUAAUGUUAGGAAAGAUGAUCCAACAAGCUAAGAUCUGGGAAGAUGAUGCCAUUUUGAAAUAGACAUUGCCAAAU
rnacentral:lncRNA from 1 species